ACAAACAAGCAAAAAUAUAUAAUCAGUGUCUUUCUUUUACCGAAACGUCCACAGCAUGCCACAUUCUCUUUCAAACUGAUAUGAGACACCCAAUUCCAUUCCAAAAAUUUCCGCCGGAAUUCAGUCCAAAUCCAACGACAAAUGCAUGGGGAAGUACAAAACAUUUUAAUAACAAGUCUCUGGAAGUAGAAAGGUCUCCUUACAUUUACUGCUACUGACACCCACCACUAUCAAUUUCUUCUUCUUCUUCUUCUUCUUCAAGAAAGACACCCCCAAACCAUCACUACGACCACCAUCUUCUUCUUCUUCUUCACCGCAGCAAAAGAGAGAUGGAUUCAAGCCCAUCAAAAUGGACAUCCCUCCCAGUCCACAUGCUAGAAGAGAUUACGAAGCGCUUAGACAUUCGUACGUACAUUCUCCACCUACGCGCCUCUUGGCGUCUUCAGUUCCUCUUCCACCCAAGAGCCUCCUCUGUAACCCUAAUGGUUCACCUCUCAAACUUCCAUUUCCAAUCGAUCCCAACAGCGACCUCCACAGCAAUCGUAGAGGCCACCUCUUACUCAAAGAGAGCACCAUCUACUGCCUCGAACCCUUGACCACGGAGAUUUCAUCCAGUACUACCAACUGCUGGUUUGUUAGGAUUGAAGACGCUGACGACUCCCGAAAAGUUCUUUCAAGCAUCUUCGCACCAUCAACAAACGAAGAUUCAUAGGCUGCCCAAUCAACAGGUUAUCAAUUUUGUUGGAUUAUAGGGUAAGGGAGGUAAGCAAAAUGCAUGAUCUCGAAUUUUUUGAAAUUAGUGAAAUCGACAGUAGUGAAAUUGAAUUCAAUGAUCUAAAAUCUAUUGAGAUUGAGAAAGCUGUAGUGAUUUGUAAGAACGACAUUGAGUUCUUGGUCAUGGCUAUCCAUAGUGGAAAUUGGGAAUUCGGAAAAUGGGUGAUGGUAAAUGGGCGAAACUGCUGAGGAGAGAGGAGAUUUUCCUUAUGUAGACGUUGCGUUUCAUAAUGAAAAGUUUUAUGCUAUGGAUGAUAUGGCGCCGACCAUAGCAGUUGAUCCAUCAUCUUUGGAAGUAACUCAAAUAGUCAGCAAUGAGCAUUAAUAUAGAGGAGGUCCUGGGAGUAGUUGGUGAAUUGGCUUGGGGAAUUGUUUCUGGUUGAUUUUGAUUUUGAAGAUUCUGAUGAUGAAGGCGGUGGCGGUGGAGGUAGGACUACAACCUCUUAUUUAGAACUUUACCAAUUUAGGACUAGGACGUCUCAUUUAGAACUUUACAAGUUAAAUAAAGAUCAUUUUGCUGGAUUGAAGAAGAACUGUGUUUAUUUCCCUCGUGGCUGCUUUAAUGUUGGCAAAGAUGAUUUCCCAGGCUGGGAUGUUGGCUUGCUUGACUUGGACGAUGAUUUUGCUCAGCCCCUGAAAUCUGUUGUUUCUAAAAUUUUUUGGCCUCCUCCAACCUGGCUCGAAUAAAGACAAAAUUGAAAGAAAGUUGUCGUGGGUUUUAAGAAUGAGAGUGAGUUUUGGGUCAUGGCUAUUUGUACUGGUGGGAAAUUGGGAGUUUGGACAAUGGGUGAUAAGAAAUGGGCAAUAGUUGAUGAUGGGUGCGAAGAUUUUCAUUUUGAGGACAUUGCUUUUCACAAUGGAAGGUUUUAUGCUGUGGAUGACAUGGGUUGGACUAUGGCAAUUCGUUCUUCAUCUUUGGACGUUACUCAAAUGGUCAGCAGUGGGCAGCGAUAUUUGGGGUUUCUUUAAGUACUUGGUGAAUUCGCUUGGAGAGCUGUUUCUGAUUGAUCAUCAUGUAGAUCUUGGUUAUGGUUUCCCCAUUGAAGAUUGGGAUGAUGAAGGCACUGAUCUCCUUAUUUAGAACUUUACAAGUUUGAUGAGAGACGCGAUUUGAUUUCUGUGAAGGACUUAGGAGAACAGAUUGGAAGGCUGGUUAGCUUGACUUGGAGAACGACAAUGCUCAGCCCCUGAAAUCUUUGUCGGAUAUUCUAAAAUUUUCUGGCCUCCGCCAACCUAGCUCAGGCAAACACCGAAUUGGAACAAAACAGAGAUGGAUUCGACCACAUCAAACUGGUCCACUCUCCGAACUGACAUGCCUGAAGAGAUUGCGAAGAGCUUAGACACUCAUACAGAAAUCCUCCAUCUACACGCUGUCUAUUCCUCUGGGUAUUCUUCAGUCCCUCUUCUACCCGAAAUCCUAACUCUCAAACUUUCAUUUCCAAUUGGUCCUGACAAUAACAGCUUCCACCCCAAGCAUAGAGGCCAUUACUUUCUCAAAAAGAGCACCUUCUACUGCCUCGAACCAUUGACGAGAAAGAUUUCAAGUUCUACCAACAACAGCAACUGGUUUGUUAGGAUUGAAGAUGCCCAUGACUCCAGGAAAGUGCGUUUCAAGGAUCCUCUUUCCAAAUUCACCAUCAAGAAAUUGGGUAAGAUUGGUAGGCUACCCCAUAGGGCUAUCAACUUGUUGGAUUAUAAGGUAAGGGAGGUAGGGAAAUCACAUGGUCUCGUAUUUGUUGAUAUUAGUAAAAAUCGAUGAUAGUAAAAGUGAAUUUAAUGAGCUGAAAUCUUUUGUGAUUCUGAAAGUUGUCAUGGGUUUUAAGAAUGAGAGUGGGUUUUGGGUCAUGGCUAUCUAUAUUGGUGGGAAACUGGGGGGGUUUGGAAAAUGGUGAUGAGGAAUGGGCAAAAGUUGAUGAUGGGUGUGGAGAUUUUUGUUCUGUGGACAUUGCUUUUCACAAUAAAAGGUUUUAUGCUGUGGAUGACAUGGGGCAGACUAUAGCAAUUGAUCCUUCGUCUUUGGAAGUUACUCAAAUGGUCAAUUGUGGGAAUUGAUAUAUGGGUUUAUAUAAGUACAUGGUGAAUUUGCUAGGAGAGUUGUUUCUAAAUAAGUGGGAUCAGGUGAUGUACGUGGGAGAUGGUUGUUGCUUCUCUGUUUCUGCUGAAGAUUUUCCUGGAUUGAAGAAGAACUGGAUUUAUUUCUCUGAUGAUAGCUUCGUUGGUGGUAAGGGUCACUUCCCCAGUUGGAAGGCUGGUUUAUUUGAGUUGGAGGACGAUGUUGCUCAGCCCCUGAAAUCUGUUGUUGGAUAUUCUAAAAUUUUCUAAGUCUCCACCAGCCUGGCUCAGGUAAUCUAUGCCAGAGGUUUAUGCAUGUGUCCAAACCUUUCGUCCAAGGAAGUUUCAUCAGAAAUAGCAAUCUGAUUAGCAGCUUGUUGUCUGUUUUGUUAUGCAGCCUUUAGUUCUCUAGUUCGGAUGAUGUCUUCUCAUAUAUUUGGUACUUAACUGAUGGCGCUGCUGUUAUGCUGAAAUGGUAUCUUUUUUGUAUAUUUUUCAGUUAUGUGGAAAUGGUAGUUUUUAGUUG